ACCUUCGGGCCUCUUGCCAUCGGAUGUGCCCAGAUGGGAUUAGCUAGUAGGUGGGGUAACGGCUCACCUAGGCGACGAUCCCUAGCUGGUCUGAGAGGAUGACCAGCCACACUGGAACUGAGACACGGUCCAGACUCCUACGGGAGGCAGCAGUGGGGAAUAUUGCACAAUGGGCGCAAGCCUGAUGCAGCCAUGCCGCGUGUAUGAAGAAGGCCUUCGGGUUGUAAAG
rnacentral:rRNA from 3 species